AGGGGGAACAGUCCCUAUUCUGCUCUGUGUCAGUGUGUAUCAGGGAUCCUUAGGACAGGUGUCAAUCCAUAUCUGCCAAGUGACCCUAUGUAGGGGGGCCAGUCUCUAUUCUGCUCUGUGUCCGUGUGCAUCAGGGGCUCUGAGGACAGGUGUCAAUCCAUAUGUCAAGGUGUCAAUAUGUCAUAUGUCAGGUGUCAAUCCAUAUUGAUUGUGAUUUAGGAAUGUUAGGUGAUUUCUGCCCUUUAUGGAUUAAAACCAGACUCUGUAUCAACUGUGUAAUUUUCCAUGGGAG